rnacentral:rRNA from 1 species
GACGAACGCUGGCGGCGUGCUUAACACAUGCAAGUCGAGCGGUAAGGCCCUUUCGGGGGCACACGAGCGGCGAACGGGUGAGUAACACGUGGGUGACCUGCCCUCAGCUCUGGGAUAAGCCUGGGAAACUGGGUCUAAUACUGGAUAUGACUCCACGGUGCAUGUCGUGGGGUGGAAAGCCUUGUGCGGCUGAGGAUGGGCCCGCGGCCUAUCAGCUUGUUGGUGGGGUGAUGGCCUACCAAGGCGACGACGGGUAGCCGGCCUGAGAGGGCGACCGGCCACACUGGGACUGAGACACGGCCCAGACUCCUACGGGAGGCAGCAGUGGGGAAUCUUGCGCAAUGGGCGAAAGCCUGACGCAGCGACGCCGCGUGAGGGAUGACGGCCUCGGUGUAACUACUUC